UACGAAGGGGACUAGCGUUGUUCGGAAUUACUGGGCGUAAAGCGCGCGUAGGUGGUUUGUUAAGUUGAAUGUGAAAUCCCCGGGCUCAACCUGGGAACUGCAUCCAAAACUGGCAAGCUAGAGUAGGGCAGAGGGUGGUGGAAUUUCCUGUGUAGCGGUGAAAUGCGUAGAUAUAGGAAGGAACACCAGUGGCGAAGGCGACCACCUGGGCUCAUACUGACACUGAGGUGCGAAAGCGUGGGGAGCAAACAGG
rnacentral:rRNA from 1 species